UUAUUUUAUCUCAGUCAUGAAAAUCAGAGCAUAGAAGCAAAUCUAAGUCAUGGGCUAUUUGUGUUUGGUAUUUUUGUUGUCUUUACAGAAGACACUUUUUCUUUCUUUUGCUGUAGAAAUUCCAAGUAAGAAAUUUUUGAGGAGAAAGAAGAUUCUAAGCUGAGACAUGUAGAAAAAGAUGUUUUGAUUCCACAAAUAAUGAGAGAGCGAGCCAAGGAGCUGUGUUCAGAUAAAGUGCAAGAAUAAAGGUGAGAGAAGUCUUUGGAAAAACUUACAUACUGACAAAUCUGUGGUGGUGGAGGCAUGUGUACAUCUGCAUUCAUGUACCAGUGGAAAAGGUACUCACAGUCAUCCAGUCAUAGCACUGAGAGGUCCCAACCAGGAAUGGUCCUUACGUAGAAGUCGGGAUACACCACGAAGAGCUUUUCAGUCCUAAGGAGACAUGGAAGACAGAAGGUUACACGGGAUUGUAAUGGUGCUGCUGAGAAGGCCACGCAUUUACUAAAUGCUGUCAAGAAACCGGUCUUCUUAUGGUGGUGAAGUGUCGGCAAGAGAACACAGCACUGAAAGACUGUCUGGUUGGCUAGUAAGUCCCUUCUAUUCUGAUCCAUUAUUCUAUGAGGAAUGCAAAACAGAAUAUUUGAAGCAAAGAGAAGAAUACAGAGCAACUGGAAUUAAGA